UACAGGGGGUGCAAACGUUGCUCGGAAUCAUUGGGCGUAAAGCGCACGUAGGCGGUUUGUUAAGUCGGAUGUGAAAUCCCUCGGCUCAACUGAGGAAGUGCAUCCGAAACUGGCAAGCUUGAGUACGAAAGAGGGUCGCGGAAUUCCCGGUGUAGAGGUGAAAUUCGUAGAUAUCGGGAGGAACACCGGUGGCGAAGGCGGCGACCUGGGUCGAUACUGACGCUGAGGUGCGAAAGCGUGGGGAGCAAACAGG
rnacentral:rRNA from 1 species